rnacentral:rRNA from 1 species
CAGUCGCCACGGGAAUACGAAGGGGGCUAGCGUUGUUCGGAAUUACUGGGCGUAAAGGGCGCGUAGGCGGCCAUUCAAGUUAGAUGUGAAAGCCCUGGGCUCAACCUAGGAAUUGCAUUUGAUACUGUUUGGCUUGAGUUCGGGAGAGGUGAGUGGAAUUCCCAGUGUAGAGGUGAAAUUCGUAGAUAUUGGGAAGAACACCGGUGGCGAAGGCGGCAACCUGGUCCAUAACUGACGCUGAGGCGCGAAAGCGUGGGGAGCAAACAGGAUUAGAUACCCCCGUAGUCCCUGUCUCUUAUAC